rnacentral:rRNA from 1 species
GAUGAACGCUAGCGGGAGGCUUAACACAUGCAAGUCGAGGGGCAGCAUAGGGUAGCAAUACUCUGAUGGCGACCGGCAAACGGGUGAGUAACGCGUAUGCAACCUACCCUGUACAGGGGGAUAACCCCGGAGAAAUUCGGACUAAAUAUCCCGUAAUAAUAUCCGGAGGCAUCUUUGGAUAUUUAAAGUUCCGACGGUACGGGAUGGGCAUGCGUAACAUUAGCUGGUUGGUAAGGUAACGGCUUACCAAGGCUAUGAUGUUUAGGGGUCCUGAGAGGGUGGUCCCCCACACUGGUACUGAGACACGGACCAGACUCCUACGGGAGGCAGCAGUGAGGAAUAUUGGUCAAUGGGCGCAAGCCUGAACCAGCCAUCCCGCGUGCAGGAAGACGGCCCUAUGGGUUGUAAACUGCUUUUCCAGGGAGAGAAACUUACGCACGUGUUGCGUGACUGACGGUACCCUCGGGAAGUAAGCAAUCGGUCUAACUCCGUGCCAGCAGCCGCGGUAAUCACGACG